GCUAAAAUUAAAAUAUAAAUUGAAAUAAUAACUAAAAUUCAUAUGACGUUUAGAAGCGAAAUAGAUUCCUUGAUAAUAAAUUGAUAGAAUACUAGGUGACA